AGAGUUUGAUCCUGGCUCAGGAUGAACGCUAGCGGCAGGCUUAAUACAUGCAAGUUGAACGGGAUUCGAGUAGCAAUACUUGAUGAGAGUGGCGCACGGGUGCGUAACACGUAUGCAACCUACCUUUAACUGGCGAAUAGCCCCGGGAAAUCGGGAUUAAUACGCCAUAAGAUCACGAAAGGGCAUCCUUUAGUAAUUAAAGAACUUCGGUUAGAGAUGGGCAUGCGGGACAUUAGCUAGUUGGUGAGGUAACGGCUCACCAAGGCAACGAUGUCUAGGGGUCCUGAGAGGGUUAUCCCCCACACUGGUACUGAGACACGGACCAGACUCCUACGGGAGGCAGCAGUAAGGAAUAUUGGUCAAUGGGCGCAAGCCUGAACCAGCCAUGCCGCGUGCAGGAAGACGGCCCUAUGGGUUGUAAACUGCUUUUGUCAGGGAAUAAAUGAUGGUACGUGUACUGUCUUGAAGGUACCUGAAGAAUAAGCAUCGGCUAACUCCGUGCCAGCAGCCGCGGUAAUACGGAGGAUGCAAGCGUUAUCCGGAUUCAUUGGGUUUAAAGGGUGCGCAGGCGGAUUGGUAAGUCAGGGGUGAAAUCCCACAGCUCAACUGUGGAACUGCCUUUGAUACUGUCAGUCUAGAGUAUAGUUGAAGUUGGCGGAAUGUGUCAUGUAGCGGUGAAAUGCUUAGAUAUGACACAGAACACCGAUCGCGAAGGCAGCUAGCUAAGCUAUAACUGACGCUCAUGCACGAAAGCGUGGGGAUCAAACAGGAUUAGAUACCCUGGUAGUCCACGCUGUAAACGAUGAUUACUCGAUGUUGGCGGUAUGCCCUUCAGUGGCGCAGCUAACGCAUUAAGUACCCCGCUGGGGAGUACGGCCGCAAGGUUAAAACUCAAAUGAAUUGACGG
rnacentral:rRNA from 1 species